AUCUAAAUGAUGUUCGUUUCCAU
rnacentral:snRNA from 1 species